AAGUCGUAACAAGGUUGGGGGGGGGGUUUUAACGUUUGGAUACGUGUUAAUGAUCCUUCCGCAGUUCGCAAUCUCUGAUAAAUCAUAGCCCGGAAAGUUGUAGUGAUUCAGAGACCUCUGGCUACGUGCGAACAUUGGAACAGUUACAAUCGAGCGGUAGUUCUAUAGGCAAUGUUUCUCCAAGCAGUCAGUGUCGGAAAGUGUCAUUGAUUGUGCAAGGAUAGCGCUUCUACGAUUCCUGUAGACCGUACACUCGGGCAGGAGCUUUGCCAAAGGGUCCCCAUGCCCCCUAAUAACCCCACAGUUUAAUGUGAAGCUCAAUGUAAUACAUUGGGUAAAAAAACCGAACAACUGUUAACAAUGGAUAUCUUGGUUCUC
rnacentral:misc_RNA from 1 species